rnacentral:rRNA from 1 species
AGCUUUAAGAAAACAUUUAAAGUCAUGCCUGCCCAGUGCAUAUUGUAAACGGCCGCAGUACCUUGACUGUGCUAAGGUAGCAUAAUCAGUUGGCUUUUAAAUGGAGUCGGGAAUGAACGGAUUAAUGGGGUAAAGCUGUCUCUAACAUAUUUUAUUGAACUUUUUUAUUAGGUGAAAAUACCUAUCUAUUAGAAAAAAGACGAGAAGACCCUAGGAGUUUUUAUUAGUUAUUAAUUAUUUAGUUACUGUUUUUGUUGGGGCGACAUAGGAUUAUAUUUUAACAUCCUUUAUUUAUUUGCCGACUCUGUAUGAAAAAUUAAACUACCCUAGGGAUAACAGCGUAAUUCUUUAAGAGCUUGCGACCUCGAUGUUGGACUAGGAAUUUGAUUGGUUAGCCGCCAGUUUUUAUUGUUCUGUUCGAACUUAAUUUCC